CGGAAGCGCCGAGCAGACGACGCGUCCCAUGAGCAUCUGCGAGUUUACGCCUCGCCUGUUGAUUUUUGUUUUUGUUUUGUAUACCUCGUGAAUCGUUCAGGAGUGUUUGGAGUCAGGCUUUUUCUGAAUACUGUUGACCGCAAUGCCAUCGUUUUGUGCGGCAUAUGGCUGCUCAAACAGCAGCCGCGACGAGCAUCACUUCCCCAAAGGUAAAAAGCUACACUCUAGAAAGCAGUUCGGUGGAUUGCGGCAGUAAAGAAAAAUAAUUUUAGGCCUACGAUCCACUACGUGAUCUGCUCAGACCACUUCCGCAACGACGAAUAUUACCGCAGUCUGUCGAUAAUGAGGUCAAUAGGAAUUCCCGUCAAGUGUGCCCGAAUGAUACAUGGCGCAGUCCCUUCAGUAUUCGCUCGCAGAAGGAAUCAGUCGCCGCCGCCGCCGAGAGCAGCUUUCGCCAAAAGAAAAACGAAGAUUCUAAAUGAGCUGUUGGGAACCAGCCAGAAAGGAUCACAUGAAGGAAGUGGUACCUCUGCCAAUGCUGCUGAGGAUUGUGGCUGCCUUAAUGCAGGGGACAUCGUCGAAGUUGUGUCGUCCCCUACUAGACUCAACCCUCUGGGAAACACUGCAGUAGUCUUGGAUACAGUCAGCUGAAAAGACCACUCAAGGACUGGUGCAUACAUGCAGGAAAUCUGCGCAACCAGGCCAGAAGAAAAGCACCACGUCAUGCUCUGUUCAAUCUCAACCACAUUGCACUUCGCUUGGAACACAUGCGCCCUUGUGGAAAGGGCUAGCACCAACCACCAGCGAGGCAGUCAAGUGCAGGAGGAGCACUUAAGAAAGCUAGUGCAAGCCUGUCGUACCUGCCUCUCACCAUGCAAGCAAGUGGACAUCCAGAGCAAUGGAACUGUGGUGUACAUUUACACAGAAUGCUAUGCUGGGCACCACUUCUUUUGGUAGAACCAGUGUUGAAACUACAGCUGUGUGCUGCAGUGCUGUUUUUGGGAAACAACUAGACUUCCUGUCUGACAAUGCUGGCCUCCCUUGGUGUCCAGGUGGUUAGUGAAAGGACCUUUUCCAUCCUUGAGAGCAGCUAUUUAUGGCCAGCAAUUGACACAAUAAGCAGGGUGCACAAGAAAUGGGCAAACUAUUUCUUUUUAAACAUGUAAAUGCGCAAAGUUUUGUGCUUGUAGCUUUGGACAGCUGAAGUACUUGAGGAAGCUCGUGGAAGACUAAGUCUAGCUGGGGAUGGACAAGCUGACUCCCCAGGUUACAGUGCCAAUUUUGGCAUGUACAUGCUGCUGGAUGUGGAGACCAAAAAUAUAGUCCAUUCUGAACUUGUGCAGGUAUCUCCGAGAAACUUCUUACCACAGCAAAGCACUCUGGCUGUACAGCACUCGACCUGUGGUGAAGUCCACAGAAAAUAAUCUGAACUGGUCAGCUGCUUCAAGUGUAGGCCACAAGGGGCUCCUUGUGCCAAAUUGGCUUUUUCUGCUGAGCCAGGUCAAGGAUAUUCAUGCUCAUGAAGGGAAGCACCGGGGAGGCAGGCUUUAUGUACGCUGCAACAGACACCAGGCGGACGGGGUUGAGCUGUCUUGCACGAGGGGAUGCUGUGGAACCGUUCAUGGAUGGUUCCUUGAAUGCAGAGGCCGCAUGCACCGCAGAGCGUCCGUGAUGCCAGUGACCGACGACAAGGAUGAUAAGAUCCGGGGGAUGCCGCCGCAUCCAGCCUGUGAAAUCUGCCAAGAAACAAAACUCCAAAUCCUUGAAAACACUGAAGGACAUAGCAAGAGCAAGGCCCCUGCUUGUUGACAUGCCACAGCUUUCAACAUCAUUUCAAACAUAUAGCGUGGAAGCAUUUCAUGGCCUGCUGCUCCACUUUGCUCCAAAGUUUUGCCAAUAUUCUUAUUAAGGAAUGAAGGCCAGAGAACUGGCUUUCAAGCUGAAGAUUUAUGCAUUCCAAGUGCACAGGACAUGUACAGUGAGUGAGUGAGUGAGAAAACUUUAUUUCGGAUCAGAACGAUUUGCGUCCAGCGAGUUAAAGGGCUGGAGCACCCGCCAAGGUUACGGCCAAGACUUCUUGCCUCUCGGCGGCUUCCUUGGCCCGCUGGACUGCCCAGAGUUGGUCUUCCAGGUUCGAGCUGAGUAGCAUGGCCUGCCAUCGCGUGCAGAGGCUGUCAAUGGAGGCUUCGCUCGCAUUGUCCUGCAUUAGCCCCUGGCAUUCCCAUAGCAUGUGUUCCAGUGUGGCUCUGGUGCCACACACUUUGCAUCUAUCUGUUGUGUAUAUGUCUGGAUAAAUAGCGUGCAUUAGUAUCA